rnacentral:rRNA from 1 species
UGGGGAAUAUUGGACAAUGGGCGCAAGCCUGAUCCAGCAAUGCCGCGUGGGUGAAGAAGGCCUUCGGGUUGUAAAGCCCUUUUGUACGGGAAGAAAUCCUGUCGGUUAAUACCCGGCGGGGAUGACGGUACCGUAAGAAUAAGCACCGGCUAACUUCGUGCCAGCAGCCGCGGUAAUACGAAGGGUGCAAGCGUUAAUCGGAAUUACUGGGCGUAAAGCGUGCGUAGGCGGUUCGUUAAGUCUGUCGUGAAAGCCCUGGGCUCAACCUGGGAAUGGCGAUGGAUACUGGCGAGCUAGAGUGUGAUAGAGGAUGGCGGAAUUCCCGGUGUAGCGGUGAAAUGCGUAGAGAUCGGGAGGAACAUCUGUGGCGAAGGCGGCCAUCUGGAUCAACACUGACGCUGAGGCACGAAAGCGUGGGGAGCAAACAGG